rnacentral:lncRNA from 1 species
GGCGCUUUUUUCCUCCCCUUUCCGUGGAGAGACUAUCAACUCCAUCUGUCACAAAAAUUAAGGCUAAAUCUCCUCUCCAGAAGCAGAGGGAGCCGGGGCUCCGACGCGCUCAGCGUCGGGCUGUCUGCCUCUCCCUAGAGGCCAAGUGAAUUUGAAAUGGCAAAAGUCACAGCCGGAGGCCCAGCACUAGGAGAUUCCUCCGGCUGCGGGAAAUCUUCCUGUACCUGCUGAAGCUGCUGCGUUCCUCAGAGGCGCUUGGUCUGCCGUGGGAAGCUGCACCUCUGCAGUCCCCAAAACCAAAAUCAAACCUUAAAAGAGCCAGACUGAGAAGCCAGUCACCACGUAAGACAUCUGGACCACCUUCAGACUCGCAUGCUGUGAGGAAGCCCAUGCUUACUAUGUGUAGAGGAUACAUGGAGAAGGAAAGAGAUGCCUGGCCAGCUCCCUGCUGUUUCAGCCAUGUGAGUGAAGAAGGCACCAGACUUGUGAGUGGAGACACUAACUUGGAUGUCCAGCCCAGCUGAACCUUCAGGUGACUCCAGCUCUAGCUGCCAUCCUACUGAAGACACAUGAGAGAGACCCCAAGCCAGGGUCAAGAUCAGCGUGAAGCAAGUGAGGCAUUUUGGUGCAAAAUGUAAGGAGGCAUUGACCUUCAUAAUUGGGCUCCAAGACUCCAAGAGUGAGUGCCUCCUUAAAUUUUGUACUUUAGACACUACACUCACCUUUCUCUAGUUCUGGUCUUGCCUCAAGCAAGAAGAGCAGAGCUUAGCUCAGUCAACCCAAAGAAUCCUGAGAAAUAACAAAAAAAUAUUCUUUUAAGCCACUCAGUUUUGAGAUGGUUUGUUAUGCAACAAUAGAGCAUUAGAACUUUUCUUCCUGUCCAAUUGCUUAGGUGAAAGAUGCUAGUAUCUGCCUGAAUUCUUUCCUUUUCUUCACAUUCUACAUUCAAUUAAUGGCUCAUCAUAGGUGUCAAUAAAAUAUUUGAUAAGUUGAAUGAAUGAAGAA